GUUCGUGGAGUGAUCUGUCUGCUUAAUUGCGUUUCACAACGAUUUAAAAUGCUAUGUUUCUGCGUUUGCUGUUCGGUUUUUCCUUAACGGGAGAUAACUUUGAACGCACGCGGCGUAGUUUAAAACAAUCGGAAAGCAACGAACGUGACCGCAACCUCUUGUUGCCUUUAUUUUUAAAGCGUAGUAUUUUUAUUACAUCUUUUGAUUGUAAUUAAUUUGUUACGUUGAAAAAGGCUUUAAAACUAGAGGGACCGCUGUUCUAUUUUCUUAAACCAGAGGAAGAUUGCGGCAAUAACAGG
rnacentral:rRNA from 1 species